AUAAGACUUGUGCUUUCUUAUAAUCUUUUGAAGAGCAACCCGUCCAAAGAGCUACAUUUCUAGAACCAAGGGCUGGGAAGACUUCCCACAAGGCUUUGAGCAACAUUUGGUUUAUGUAACUUAAAGUGUUGUGUCUUUGAAAGUUUAUGCAUUGAUGUCUUUGUGCAUGUCUUUAUGUUUUUGUUUAUUGAUGUCUUUAUGUUCAAGUGUUUUUGUGUAUUGAUGUCUUUAUGUUCAUGUUUAUGUCUUUGUUUAACUCUUUCUUUAUGUCUUUAUGUAUGUGAAUCUCCUCCUCUAAACAUGUUUAUGUUCAUGUUUAUGACUUUUGUUUCCCAAGGGAGGAUGGGAUAAUGAUGACUCAGUCAGGGAGGCUGCAGUGAGUGGAAGGCAUCUUCAACACGCUGAGAAAACAGGACAAGAAGAGGACAAGUCAUUGGCAAGUUGAAGCUAAUGGAGACCACAUAUUUCUACUUUGCUUGUACACCACAUUAGUUUUGUGUCAAUAAUUCGACACUCGCUUUGGGAUUUCUAUAUAUUUCACUCUUGUUCUCACAAACUAAUGCAACAAUCGUUUACAAUUCAACUCUUCUUCUUUAUA